rnacentral:lncRNA from 1 species
UCACCUGCUUUCUGCCUUGAUGUUGCUGGGAGCUGUAGACCGGAGCUGUUCAUGUUCGGCCAUCUUGCCAGCCACCUGUUUCUUGUUCUUGAAGUUCAUUGAGAUUCUUCAAUCUCAAACAUUCAGGAUCGACAGAAUGAUCAAAGGAGACUGCAUCAAAUUGGAUUCCUAUGGUGGAGGGGGGACCCCAGCUGUAACAGCUUUUCCAGUUCUCUCUCCCAUCCAGAACCAUGAGAGGCACGCCAUUCGAGGGGAGGUAUGCAAUCUGAUGCUCCUCAGACAGGUCAAAAUUCUCAAAGUCUAUAGGAUUAAAAAGUCUAUAGGAUUAAAAGGGGAGCAUUUUUCUACUUUUGGAUAGGUGUCAUCGAGGCAGGAAUAAAGGUGGUUUUAGCUUUAACAGUCUUCUCAGUCAUAAGGCCCAGACCCCAGCUUCAGCCCAUCCUUAGGAGCCACACAGGUGCCUGGUUCUCUGUUUUCCUUAUCAAUAAGGAUCAGAGUAGUUAUUCUGGAUUACUCCAAGACUCUCCUUCCACCAUUAUUAAAAAUAGUUUUUUCUGUUUUCCUCUACGCCUUUUGCAGGAACUCCAAUUAUAUUUGUAUUAGGCUGCUUGAUUGUCCUACAGCUCCCUGACGCCCUGUUCAUUUAUUUUCAGUCUUUUUUCUCUCUGUAUUUCAUUUUGCAUAGUUUCUCUUGCUAAGUUUUUGAGAUCAUUUAUCUUUUCUUCUGAAUUAAUAUACCAGUAAUCCCAUUCAGUAUAUUUUUUAUCUCAGACAUUGCUUCAUUUUGUGUCUCUAGAAGUUUGAUUUGGGUCUUUUCUACAAAUCUUCCAUGUCUCAUUCAACAUGCUCAGUCAUUCCUCUGCCUUCUUGAGCUUAUGGAAUAUAGUUAAAAUAGUUGUUUUAAUAUCCUUGUGGGUUAAGCCUAACAUCAAUGUCAGUUGUGGGUCAGUUUUGAUUGAGUGGUUAAUUGAUUGUUAUUAUGGGUCCUAUUUUCCUGCUACUUGCAUGCCUGUCAAUUUUUUAUUAGAUGCCAGUCUUUAUGAAUUUUACUCUGAAGGGUGCUGGAUAUUUCUGUAUUCCUGUAAAUAAUUCUUGAACUUUGUUUUGUGACACAGUUAAAUUCUUUGGGGACAGUUUGAUCCUUUCAGGGCUUGCUUUGGAGGGACCAGAGCAGCUGUUAGUCUGGGGCUAAUUCUUCCCCAUGACCAAGACAAUGCCAUCCUGAGUGUUCUAGCCAGUCCCAAGGUUUUUCGCUGUUCCUUUGUAUUCCAUUCGGAUGAUUCUUUUCUCAGCCUAGGGUCCUCUUUGCGUGUGUGCUGUUGCCGUAGAUCUCCGAGUUCCCUCGCCUCCCUCUCUCAGUAGCUCUCUCUAGCACUCUGCCCUGUGAGCUCCAGCUGGCUCAGAGGCCUCUGUCUCAAUUUGUGCUCCCCUUUCUUGUGCUGUGGUCUGGAAACUCUCUAGGUAAUAAGCUCAGUCAGUUGUAGGGCUACCUCAUUUGUUUCCUGUCUCUCAGGGACCGGUGUCCAGUGUCUAAAAACUGUUGUGUCAUGUAUUCUGCCCAGUCUUUGGCUGUUUCAGCUAGGGGGGUAAAUAUGGUCUCUAUUGAAUCAUCUUGGCUGAGGUAAAUCUGAAUUAAAAAAAAAAAUUUCUCAUCACAGAAACAAUACAUUUUUAGUCUAGAAAGUUGACAGGGGAAGGGAGGUAGA